rnacentral:lncRNA from 1 species
AACAUUGAGUCCUGUGCUCUUUUGUUUCACCUCAGGUGCACUAUGCCUGAGAUUUCAUGUGAGUGAGUCUGCUUGAUGACUAGUACAUGAGAGAAGCCACAUUACUGCUUUAAUUACUUAUAAUGAAGGAUCACGGGAUGAUGAUGUCAUCAUUUCAAGGCUGGCUAUGUCUAAGUGCACUGCCAGGAAGAGGAAAGUUGAAUGAUGAUUUAUGUACCUUGGACAAAAUUCAGGCUAUGUGUCUUGGAUGAACUGUUUCUUCCGUACACCAUUGCUGACCAUAAAGGACAACAGCUCCAGGAAGAAGGGUGACUACAUAACAUGAAAGACAUGAUCACAGCAGCUGGAACACAGAAGACACCCGUAUUUAGUCCUGUUAUCAUCCAAGCUGGCCAGUUUAUUCCAGACUUUCCUUUGGUUCAUGGAGACUUCCCAAGUAUCCUUCUCAGCUCCCUCUUUCAGGCACUUGCAAAAGCCCAACAAACACUUGACACGUGA